rnacentral:rRNA from 1 species
UACAGAGGUCUCAAGCGUUUGUUCGGAUUCAUUGGGCGUAAAGGGUGCGUAGGUGGCGUGGUAAGUCUUGUGUGAAAUCCCUCGGCUUAACUGAGGAACUGCACGAGAUACUGCGAGACUUGAGUUCGGGAGAGGAAAGCGGAAUUCCGGGUGUAGCGGUGAAAUGCGUAGAUAUCCGGAGGAACACCGGUGGCGAAGGCGGCUUUCUGGACCGACACUGACGCUGAGGCGCGAAAGCUAGGGGAGCAAACGGG